rnacentral:ncRNA from 3 species
GGAUCAAUAUAUCGGUCGUGCCAUCGGUACGUACUGGUAUGAUUGGUUUCUCCUUUCUGACGAACCAUGAUGUCAUUAAUUUGGUGUUAUGGGAAGUUAGGACUGUUACUUUGAAAAAAUUAGAGUGUUUAAAGCAGGCUUUAGCUUGAAUACAUUAGCAUGGAAUAAUGAAAUAGGACGUUCGAACCUAUUUUGUUGGUUUCUAGGAUCAACGUA